GUAGGUGGCAAGCGUUGUCCGGAAUUAUUGGGGCGUAAAGCGCGCGCAGGCGGUUCUUUAAGUCUGAUGUGAAAGCCCACGGGCUCAACCGUGGAGGGUCAUUGGAAACUGGAGAACUUGAGUACAGAAGAGGAAAGCGGAAUUCCACGUGUAGCGGUGAAAUGCGUAGAGAUGUGGAGGAACACCAGUGGCGAAGGCGGCUUUCUGGUCUGUAACUGACGCUGAGGCGCGAAAGCGUGGGGAGCAAACAGGAUUAGAUACCCUGGUAGUCCACGCCGUAAACGAUGAGUGCUAAGUGUUAGGGGAUUUCCGCCCCUUAGUGCUGCAGCUAACGCAUUAAGCACUCCGCCUGGGGAGUACGGCCGCAAAGGCUG
rnacentral:rRNA from 1 species